rfam:Brassica rapa chromosome A9, whole genome shotgun sequence.
UUUUGUAAAAUUAUUCCUCAACUAAUAAUACUUGGUAAACUCUGAAGACCUAAAAAAUAACUGGGUCAAGAUCGGUUAGUGAGACGGUGGGAGAUAAAUUUCAUCGUCAAAAAAGAAACAGUCCGGAUCACCAGUUAAAGCUCCUAAAUAACUGCUCAGUAAUAAAUGAGAUAGGGGUGUAGAGAUAGCCAUGAGAUUUGCCUAGAAGUAGCCACUUUUGAAAGAACGCUUAAUAGUUCACUGAUCGAGCGCUUUUGCGCUGAAAAUGAAUAGGGCUAAGCGAUUUGCCGAAACCUACACAAAGUUGAGCAUAAAA